rnacentral:rRNA from 1 species
GGGACUUCGGUCCUGAGUAAAGUGGCGCACGGGUGAGUAACACGUGACUAACCUACCUCCGAGUGGGGAAUAACCUAGAGAAAUCUGGGCUAAUACCGCAUAACACUUACGAGUCAAAGCAGCAAUGCGCUUGGAGAGGGGGUCGCGGUCGAUUAGCUAGUUGGCGGGGUAAUGGCCCACCAAGGCGAUGAUCGAUAUCCGGCCUGAGAGGGCGCACGGACACACUGGAACUGAAACACGGUCCAGACUCC